CACACACCUGCUUCAGUGAUAGUUGGUAUAUCAGAGACCUUUUGUAGAUGUAUCGAAACAGGACUAAAUGAGAAGAAAGCGUCUGACCUAUUUGCAAGUGUCGAGGCUGGUAGCGUUGAACAAGGAGACUGUGGGAGUGGUCAGCUUUCUGGUGAUCUACCCCCUCUACCUGCCACUCUUUAUUCUCUUCCGGAUGAGCCAUAGCAAGUGUGACAGUAGAGCAGGUGUCCUCCCAGGUGGAUCAAGAGUCAGGGGAGAUCGAUUACUUCCUGGAUAACUCCAUGGCAGGAAGCUCCUUCCUCAUCUACAAAGGGAUUCCUGGAGAGGUUUAAGCAGAGUUCAUGCAGAUAACUAACUUGCCUCUGCAAACAAAGCUCAUGGCACAACGGGACCAGUAUUCGGAUAACCUGAGGAAGGCAGUCCGCACCAAAGGAGGAGUUGCAGGAAUGAAGAUCUGCAACAUUACGGCAGCCACAGCUGAGGUGUUCAUUUGGUGUUAGAAAUUCUAAUUCAAGGUCUUCUCUUUGCAAUCUGAGUAGCUAUUAUAACUUAGUCCAUUUGUGAUUGUAUCAUCUAUAACUAUAUACUUGUACAUUGUAAAGAAAGGACCCAGCAAACAGUUCCAUCUGGACACGUUUAGUCUUAUUGCAGAGUAAUGACAUUAACAUCAAGAGAGACUGCAUCCUGAAAUGCCUGUCUGUCUACCUCAAAGAGGACGAGAAGCUUGUCAAGUAGUACUUGGUUUGUAUUGUGGAUAUGUCAACACGCUUUCUAUGCAAUCUAAUGACAAUUAUAACAAUGCUGAGGUGAAGUUUUACAAAAUCGAGUGUCUAACAAAAUGCACGUCAAAACCUUGAAUAAAACAGAAGCCUUCGAUGAAUAUCUGAUCAGUGCUUAAUUUGGUGUUUUCUUUGUGUUUGUGUUGCGUGUUCUUCAGAACUGCGACAUGGCUGAGUCUGAGAAGGAGGUAGCGUAAACUGUCAUGGGGAUUUACGUCAUCCGAGGAAGAUCCAGAUGACGUCAGAAUUGUGGGAAGCGGAGCCUUAGGAUGUGCCAUGUUGUUUGGUUGAUCUAUGCACUCAACUUGAGCUACACACAGCACCUCAAAUGCACUUUGAUGUGUUCCAGAAGAUUCUAAUUAACUUGGAUGGAAACAAGCUUUCACCAAACAUCCAACCACUCAAGACCAACAUUUUUCAGUGAUCAACUAAAAGGAGAAAGUGGCAGUUUGCAGUCAACUGACAGAGUUUGCCCUUGUCUAGACAUUGUUUAGGGCAAAUGUCUGAACAGAGAUGUUUAUUUAACCAUUAUUUCACUCUUUUAUGGCAGCUUUGGAGCAGUGGCUUCUUCCUUGCUGAGCAGCCUUUCAGGUUAUGUCGAUAUAGGACUUGUUUUACUGUGGAUAUAGAUACUUUUGUACCUGUUUCCUCCAGCAUCUUUUUUUUAACCUUUAUUUAACUAGGCAAGUCAGUUAAGAA
rnacentral:lncRNA from 1 species